rnacentral:rRNA from 1 species
UACGAAGGGGGCUAGCGUUGCUCGGAAUGACUGGGCGUAAAGGGCGCGUAGGCGGCUUGCACAGUCAGGCGUGAAAUUCCUGGGCUCAACCUGGGGACUGCGCUUGAGAUGUGUGGGCUUGAGUGGGGAAGAGGGUCGUGGAAUUCCCAGUGUAGAGGUGAAAUUCGUAGAUAUUGGGAAGAACACCGGUGGCGAAGGCGGCGACCUGGUCCUUGACUGACGCUGAGGCGCGAAAGCGUGGGGAGCAAACAGG